AAGGAACUAAACGUCUACACAAGUUCUAUGAUUCGCUUUAGAUCAUAUACAUAUAUCCAUUUCAUCAAACUUGUACAUUCAUAAAGUCUUUACAUUUCAUUACAUCAGUUGCAUCAUUUCUUUUUACAUCACAUUGCCUCAAAACAAAACUUUACAUUUUUUACUUUACAUUAAACAUCUUCACGUACAAAAGAUGACAAUAAGGUAGCUACUAACAAAGUAUGAAAUAACCCAAC
rnacentral:lncRNA from 1 species